GCGCCGGUUGCCCAUGCGGCCCUAGGGCUGGGAGCGCGGCGCCGCUCCGCUGCGGGGGAGGCCAUGGCGGAACCUUCCCAGGCCCCAAACCCGGUCCCGGCAGCGCAGCCCCGGCCCCUUCACUCCCCAGCCCCUGCCCCAACUUCGACUCCUGCGCCCAGUCCGGCUUCAGCCUCCACUCCGGCUCCGACUCCGGCACCAGCCCCUGCCCCAGCUGCAGCCCCAGCUGGGAGCACAGGGAGUGGGGGCGCCGGGGUAGGAAGUGGGGGGGAUCCGGCUCGACCUGGCCUGAGCCAGCAGCAGCGCGCUAGCCAGAGGAAGGCGCAAGUCCGGGGUCUGCCGCGUGCCAAGAAGCUUGAGAAACUAGGGGUCUUCUCAGCUUGCAAGGCCAAUGAAACCUGCAAGUGUAAUGGCUGGAAAAACCCCAAGCCCCCCACCGCACCCCGCAUGGACCUCCAGCAGCCAGCUGCCAACCUGAGCGAGUUGUGCCGUAGCUGUGAGCACCCUUUGGCGGACCAUGUGUCCCACCUGGAGAAUGUGUCAGAGGACGAGAUUAACCGGCUCUUGGGAAUGGUAGUAGAUGUAGAAAAUCUGUUCAUGUCUGUUCACAAGGAAGAGGACACAGACACCAAACAAGUCUAUUUCUACCUCUUCAAGCUCUUGCGGAAGUGCAUUCUGCAGAUGACACGGCCAGUGGUGGAGGGGUCUCUAGGCAGCCCCCCAUUUGAGAAGCCUAACAUUGAACAGGGUGUACUGAACUUUGUGCAGUACAAAUUUAGCCACCUGGCCCCCCGAGAGCGCCAGACAAUGUUUGAGCUCUCAAAGAUGUUCCUGCUCUGCCUUAACUACUGGAAGCUGGAGACCCCUGCUCAAUUCCGGCAGCGGUCCCAGUCUGAGGAUGUCGCUACCUACAAAGUCAAUUAUACCAGAUGGCUCUGUUACUGCCACGUGCCCCAGAGCUGCGACAGCCUCCCCCGCUACGAGACCACCCACGUGUUUGGCCGAAGCCUUCUACGGUCCAUUUUCACUGUCACCCGCCGGCAGCUACUGGAAAAAUUUCGGGUGGAAAAGGACAAACUGGUGCCUGAGAAGAGGACCCUCAUCCUCACUCACUUCCCCAAGUAAGGCUCAGUCUGGCCUCCUGGGAUUUUACCCCAAAUUCAUGUCCUUGCUGUUGUCCCCUUUUUUCCAGGAAGGCUUCCUGGAUUGGUCCCUCCUCUCCCUCCAUGGGCCUUCUGGGAUCUGGGUGUCUACCUGGCAGAUUUGCCCAUGGCCCAGAAGCUACUUGCUAGUAUGUGCUAGUCUGGGGAUGGCAGAUUCCUGUCCAUGCUUGAGGAAGAGAUCUACGGGGCAAAUUCUCCCAUCUGGGAGUCAGGCUUCACCAUGCCACCUUCGGAGGGGACACAGCUGGUGCCCCGGCCAGCCACGGUCAGUGCAACAGUUGUACCCAGCUUCAGUCCUUCCAUGGGAGGAGGCAGCAACAGCUCCCUGAGCCUAGAUUCCGCAGGGACUGAGCCCAUGCCAGCAGGGGAGAAGAGGAAGCUUCCUGAGAACCUGACCCUGGAGGAUGCCAAGCGGCUCCGCGUGAUGGGGGACAUCCCCAUGGAGCUGGUCAAUGAGGUCAUGCUGACGAUCACUGACCCCGCUGCCAUGCUGGGGCCUGAGACAAGCCUGCUUUCGGCCAACGCAGCUCGAGAUGAGACGGCUCGCCUGGAAGAACGGCGAGGAAUCAUCGAGUUCCACGUCAUUGGCAACUCCCUGACGCCCAAGGCCAACCGGCGCGUGCUGCUCUGGCUCGUGGGGCUGCAGAAUGUCUUUUCCCACCAGCUGCCAAGAAUGCCCAAGGAAUAUAUCGCCCGCCUCGUCUUUGACCCGAAGCACAAGACCCUGGCCCUGAUCAAGGAUGGGCGGGUCAUCGGUGGCAUUUGCUUCCGCAUGUUUCCCACUCAGGGCUUCACGGAAAUCGUCUUCUGUGCCGUCACCUCAAAUGAGCAGGUCAAGGGCUAUGGCACCCACCUGAUGAACCACCUAAAGGAGUACCACAUCAAACACAGCAUCCUUUACUUUCUCACCUAUGCUGACGAGUACGCCAUUGGCUACUUCAAAAAGCAGGGCUUCUCCAAAGACAUCAAGGUGCCCAAGAGCCGCUAUCUGGGCUACAUCAAGGACUAUGAAGGAGCGACGCUGAUGGAGUGUGAGCUGAAUCCCCGAAUCCCCUACACAGAGCUGUCCCACAUCAUCAAGAAACAGAAAGAGAUCAUCAAGAAGUUGAUUGAGCGCAAACAGGCACAGAUCCGCAAGGUCUACCCUGGACUCAGCUGCUUCAAAGAGGGAGUGAGGCAGAUCCCGGUGGAGAGCGUCCCUGGCAUUCGAGAGACAGGCUGGAAGCCACUGGGAAAGGAGAAGGGCAAGGAGCUUAAGGAUCCUGAUCAGCUAUAUACGACCCUCAAAAACCUGCUGGCUCAGAUCAAGUCACACCCCAGUGCCUGGCCCUUCAUGGAACCUGUGAAGAAGUCAGAGGCUCCUGACUACUACGAGGUUAUCCGUUUCCCCAUUGACCUGAAGACCAUGACAGAACGGUUGCGCAGUCGCUACUAUGUGACCCGGAAGCUCUUCGUAGCUGACCUGCAGCGGGUCAUCGCCAACUGCCGGGAGUACAAUCCCCCAGACAGCGAAUACUGUCGCUGCGCCAGUGCCCUGGAGAAGUUCUUCUACUUCAAGCUCAAAGAGGGAGGGCUCAUCGACAAGUAGCCCCCAGCUGGGAUCCGCAACAUCCACCUCCAUCUCCUCAGAUCCGUUUGGGGGCUCCCGGCCCCCUCUCCCGGACUCAGCUGGAGAAACUCCAGCCAGGGACCCCAGAUCUUACAGACUUUCUGGCCAGCAGGCACUCACUCCCAAGCCAGCAGCUCUCUUUCCACCUUCCUUGCAUCCCACCUUGGGGAGACGUCUGGUCUGGGGCCAGCCCGUUGUAGAAUGUCUGGUGGCCAGGGCAUGAACUGUUGGUCCUUAUAGAGCCAUGCAGGCUGAGCAUCCUGAGCCUGGUCCCCAUGCCUGUUUCCCAGGGCCAGGACUAUUCAGUGAGUAGCCUUCACAUGGAAACAGCCCAGACUGGAGGAACCAUGAGGGGCCUUGGCUUAUCCUACACUGUUGUCUAUCUGUCCCUCCAGGAUUGGGGGCAGGAGGACCAUUCAUUCCUUGGCAUUAAUCCCUCGGAGGGAACAAUAAAGCUUUUUUUUUCCCCUG